CAGCCGCCGCGGUAAUACGUAGGUGGCGAGCGUUAUCCGGAAUUAUUGGGCGUAAAGCGUGAGUAGGUGGCAUAUUAAGUCUAUAGUAAAAGGCUGUGGCUCAACCAUAGUAUGCUGUAGAAACUGGUAGGCUAGAAUUAGGGAGAGGUUAAUGGAAUUUCAUGUGUAGCGGUGGAAUGCGUAGAUACAUGAAGGAACACCAGUGGCGAAGGCGGUUAACUGGCCCUACAUUGACACUCAGUCACGAAAGCGUGGGGAGCAAAUAGGAUUAGAUACCCUAGUAGUCCACGCCGUAAACGAUGAGUACUAAGUGUUGGAGAAAUUCAGUGCUGAAGUUAACAUAUUAAGUACUCCGCCUGAGUAGUACGUUCGCAAGAAUGAAACUCAAAGGAAUUGACGGGACCCCGCACAAGCGGUGGAGCAUGUGGUUUAAUUCGAAGAUACGCGAAGAACCUUACCAGGGCUUGACAUGGCAUUAAAGGCUCUAGAGAUAGAGAGAUAGUUAUAGUGCACACAGGUGGUGCAUGGCC
rnacentral:rRNA from 1 species